rfam:Camelus ferus unplaced genomic scaffold scaffold595, whole genome shotgun sequence.
GAGGAUGUAGCUCAGUGGCAGAGUGUGUGCUUAGCAUGCACAGGGUCCUAGGUUCAAUACCUCGUACCUCCA